UCAUCAGAAAAUUCUGAAAAUGGAAGGUCAGAUUAGAUGAUCAUGAUGGUCUCUUCUAGCCUUGAAGUCCAUGAGUCUAUGAAUUAUCUGCAUUUGCA